rnacentral:lncRNA from 1 species
CUGGAGCUGCUGCACUGACUCACCUGAGCUCACCUGGGCACAUCUGGGCACACCUGGGCACAUCUGGACUCACCUGGGCACAUCUGGACUCACCUGGGCGCUGCUUUUUGGCUCUGGGAGGGGCUUUGGGGGGAACUUUUGGGGUUUUUUGGGGUCUCUGAGGGAUUUUCGGGGCUGUCGCUGCUGGACUGACUCACCUGAGCUCACCUGGGCACAUCUGGGGCACAUCUGGACUCACCUGGAGCUCACCUGGACUCACCUGGGCGCUGCUUUUUGGCUCUGGGUGCUGCUUUUUUGGGUCUUUUUGGGGGUCUCUGGGGGAUUUUCGGGGCUGUCGCUGCUGCACUGACUCACCUGAGCUCACCUGGGGCACAUCUGGACUCACCUGGAGCUCACCUGGACUCACCUGGGCACAUCUGGACUCACCUGGGCACACCUGGGGCACAUCUGGACUCACCUGGGCACAUCUGGACUCACCUGGGCACACCUGGACUCACCUGGAGCUCACCUGCAUUAAACUCAUCCCGUCCCCGACCCACCCUGGCUGUGGUUUGGGGGUCUUGGGGGGUCCCAGACUCACCUGGGGGACCCCAAAUUCACCUGGGGGACCUCAAAUUCACCUGAGGGACCCCAAACCCACCUGGGGGACCCCAAAACUCACCUGGGGGGGCACCUGGGGGACCCCAAAUCCACCUGGGGGACCCCAAAUUCACCUGGGGGACCUCAAAAUUCACCUGGGGGACCCCCAUAACUCACCUGAGGGACCCCAAACCCACCUGGGGGACCCCAAAAUUCAUCUGGGGGACCCCAGACUCACCUGGGGGGGCACCUGGGGGACCCCAAAAUUUAUCUGGGGGACCCCAAAACUCACCUGGGGGACCCCAAAAUCCACCUGGGGGACCCCAAAAUUUAUCUGGGGGACCCCAGACUCACCUGGGGGGGCACCUGGGGGGCCCCAGACUCACCUGAAGGAUUUUGGGGAUUUUUUGGGGGGUCUCCAGCCCCUUUUUUCUCUCUCUCUCCCCCCACAGGAGGAGCCAGCGACCCCCCCCAGGUGUGACGGGGGCGGGACCCCAAAUCCCACCUGA